rnacentral:rRNA from 1 species
UGGGGAAUUUUGGACAAUGGGCGAAAGCCUGAUCCAGCAAUGCCGCGUGUGUGAAGAAGGCCUUCGGGUUGUAAAGCACUUUUGUCCGGAAAGAAAUCCUUGGCUCUAAUACAGUCGGGGGAUGACGGUACCGGAAGAAUAAGCACCGGCUAACUACGUGCCAGCAGCCGCGGUAAUACGUAGGGUGCAAGCGUUAAUCGGAAUUACUGGGCGUAAAGCGUGCGCAGGCGGUCUGCUAAGACCGAUGUGAAAUCCCCGGGCUCAACCUGGGAACUGCAUUGGUGACUGGCAGGCUAGAGUAUGGCAGAGGGGGGUAGAAUUCCACGUGUAGCAGUGAAAUGCGUAGAGAUGUGGAGGAAUACCGAUGGCGAAGGCAGCCCCCUGGGCCAAUACUGACGCUCAUGCACGAAAGCGUGGGGAGCAAACAGGAUUAGAUACCCUGGUAGUCCACGCCCUAAACGAUGUCAACUAGUUGUUGGGGAUUCAUUUCCUUAGUAACGUAGCUAACGCGUGAAGUUGACCGCCUGGGGGAGUACGGUCGCAAGAUUAAAACUCAAAUGAAUUGACGGGGUCAUAGCUGUUUCCU